rnacentral:rRNA from 1 species
GUAGUUAGCCGGGGCUUCCUCCUUGGCUACCGUCACUUUCUUCGUCACCAAGGACAGAGGUUUACAAUCCGAAGACCUUCUUCCCUCACGCGGCGUUGCUGGGUCAGGCUUGCGCCCAUUGCCCAAUAUUCCCCACUGCUGCCUCCCGUAGGAGUCUGGACCGUGUCUCAGUUCCAGUGUGGCCGAUCAGCCUCUCAGCUCGGCUACCCAUCGUUGGCUAGGUGGGCCGUUACCCCGCCUACUACCUAAUGGGACGCGAACCCCUCCUUCUGCGGAUUGCUCCUUUGACCCCUGAGCCAUGCGACUCUGUGGUCUUAUGCGGUAUUAGCACUUGUUUCCAGGUGUUAUCCCCCUCAAAAGGGCAGGUUGUUCACGCGUUACUCACCCGUUCGCCACUAGCUAUAAAUCCGAAAACCUAUAGCCCGUUCGACUUGCAUGUGUUAGGCACGCCGCCAGCGUUCGUCCUGAGCCAGGAUCAAACUCUGA